UGAGCCUGGAAGAUGGAGGUUGCAGUGAGCUGAGAUCACGCCACUGCACUCCAGCCUGGGC
rnacentral:miRNA from 1 species